rnacentral:rRNA from 1 species
GUGGGGAAUAUUGGACAAUGGGCGAAAGCCUGAUCCAGCAAUGCCGCGUGAGUGAAGAAGGCCUUAGGGUUGUAAAACUCUUUCGCCGGUGAAGAUGAUGACUGUAACCGGUAAAGAAGCUCCGGCUAACUCCGUGCCAGCAGCCGCGGUAAUACGGAGGGGGCUAGCGUUGUUCGGAAUUACUGGGCGUAAAGCGCACGUAGGCGGUUUAUCUAGUUAGGCGUGAAAGCCCCAGGCUCAACCUGGGAACUGCGUUUAAUACUGGUAGACUAGAGACCGAGAGAGGAUGGCGGAAUUCCCAGUGUAGAGGUGAAAUUCGUAGAUAUUGGGAAGAACACCGGUUGCGAAGGCGGCCAUCUGGAUCGGAACUGACGCUGAGGUGCGAAAGCGUGGGGAGCAAACAGG